UAUGGUCAUACCACAUUAAAAUAUCCAUUUUCGUCCGAUCACCGAAGUUAAGCAACGUUUAACCUGGUCAGUACCUAGAUAGUUGAUCGCUGGGGAAUUCCAGGUGCAGUAAG